UCGAGAUAUUCUCGCGCUGCGUAUUACCCAACUGUCAUAAAUUGCAGCAUUAUGCGUUUUUGAUAUCUAACAACAUUUUAAGAACCAAGUUCUUAUCAUGACUAACACAGCAGUAUCGGACAUUUUUGGUAAGCAUUGUCACUAUCAUUAUGGAAAGAAAGAUUACAUCGGGAAAGGCACAUUCGGCAUGGUCUACAAAGCGAAAGUGGUGGAACGGGGUGAUUUUGUUGGAGAAACGACUGUGGCGGUCAAGGUGAUAUACUUGAAUCAAAAUCCGGUAAACUCGCGCCUGGGAUCCGAUCCAGAAGAAUCGCAGAAGCUAUGCCACAGACUCCAAAGGAUUUUGGAACUGCAGCACGAUAAUUUAGUUCCAUAUUACAAAAUAACUUUGACCAAAACUACCGGCAUCGUCGAAUUAAUGAUGGACUACUACAGUGGUAUGUACGGGACGCAUAAACCAAUGAACAAGGAACGCAAAACGAUAAAAGACUUAAUUGUUACAUUUUGCUCCUGCAGCUAAAUGAUAACUGGCAACUGGAAAUUCAAAGUUUCAUUAAGCCUGUAGAUUGCGGACUUUGCUGUAUUAAAUACUGUAUAAUUUCGCCCGUUGACUGCAGGCGGCGACUUAGCCUCUUUCCUUGCAAGAGUUCGAGGAAACCCUGGAGUUCUCCCGGCAGCGACGAGCAGUACUCUUUGCACACCAAAUCGCCCACGGACUGGCGUAUCUCCAUGAAAACAAUAUCAUUCAUGGCGACAUAAAGCCGGGGAACAUCCUGAUAAAAAACCCAAAUAGCCUACGCGAAAUUCUGCAAAUUGGGGACUUGGAUGACCUGGUGCAAAUGCACCGCGAAGCCGGCACAUGCUCACUUGAUAUUACGCAUCUACGUACGUGUCGCUACAUGUCACCGGAAAUGUUGGGGCGGUUCGCUCAGCUGCCAGGUCCGCUCCUGGUCGUAUGACCGAUAUCUGGGGUUUUGGCUGCUUGCUUCUGGAGUCAGCCAAUAUUGUUGUGUGCCUUCAGGACAAGUGGUUCCUGACAACGGGCCAAAUUGUGUUUAUGACUAACGCGGUUUCGGAAACCCAGUUCAUCAGUAUGGUACUCAAUGGAGCCCUUCCCUUCGUGGAUGAACGCGUGCCAUCGAAUUUGGCGGAAUGUAUUCAAGGAUGUUUAAGAGCGGUCAGCAGCGAGAGGAUCACAGCAAUGCGGCUCUUUGAUGAACUAUUGGACGUUGAAAACGGGGUACCUGGGCGACAGACGACUGACUUUGUUAUGAUUCAUAUUGACGAGAUGAGUCGUCCGAGUGUUUCGGAAACCAACGAGGACGAAAAUUCUGUGAUAUGUGUACCUGCAAACGGAUUAUCGAUUCAUCUUUUGGACACCGGUCAUACCGCUUCUGUGACGUUACGAAAGUGGUCGCUGCCGAAUGGUUUCAAAAAUCAGUAUUAAAAAAAAAAUUUGUCGACAGUUUUAUAGCCUCAGGCAACGAAGUCGUGUGUCAGAUUCGGAAAUCCGAAGAUUUAGUGGACACGGUUGUGUGGAACGUUACAAGGCAGAUGUGGCGCUUACUGGAUAGUCAGAGCGGGAAUUCUAGAGUUAUUUUUCGCUGACCUGUGUGCGUGGGAAAAACGGUUUAUUUUUGGACUAGGGACACGGAACUUGCGAUGGUGGACAUUUCCGAUGGCAGUAUACUCGUCAUUUCAAGACCACCAAAUGCUGCAGCGAUCCAAUCAAUUUCUGGCGGGGUGUCAACAAACGACAAAUUAUUUUAUUUGACAUGUACUGGUACACCAUCGGGUCAUGUGUUACGUUUGACCUGCUUCGACAUUGCGACGUAUGAGUGGGAUGAUUUCGGAGACUUACCUGACGUAAAGAAAAGGGCUAACUUCGCCAUGAUUGAACUGCAUGGAAAUAUAUAUUUGCUGGGUGGCUUGUCAGAGCCGGACAGAACCGUGUUGAGGUCGUGUGCACGAUUUAAUAUGGCAACCUGCUCCUGGGAAUCGGUAGGAUCCCUGCGACAGCGGCGGUAUAAACACUGUGCAUUCGUGACGAAUGAGCGUUUAUACGUAUUUGGUGGGAAAAGCCACUGGAAGAACGGGUAUCCAGCACUGACCCAUAUAUUUGGUGGACAAGGCCACUGGAGAAAUGACUACCCAUGCCUGCCGAUGGAAUACUAUGAUGUCGGAGAAAAUGUUUGGAAGGAUGUAAAUUAUGCAUCUUUGGAUCAAGCCGGUCUAGCGCCUUUAGACCAUUUAACUUGUACAAACUACCGCCGUUCAGUUUGUGUACCAUUACAAAAUAAUUUUUAGUCUGUAUUCGUUAACAUAUUUUUUGUGCAUUUAUUGGCAUUUAUUCCGCCCAACGUCCCAACGACACCGUCCAUCGUCUUUCUUCCAUGACACAUUAAUACGAAAGAUUUGUGGCGGUGUCUUGAUCAAAGACAGGAUAUUUUACGUAGUAGCCAGUUCAGCAGAUGUUUCAUCAGUUCUGUCAUUAAAAAGCUUAAUCGGCUUUAAUAUAAUGACGUACAACUGGGAAGAUUUUGGAAAUUUACCGGAUUUUGAUCAAAGGACGAAUUUCGCCAUGGUGGAGCUGCAGGGAAAAAUCUACCUGUUGGGUGGGUCGGAGGACGGGAAAGCCGUGAUGGGAUAGUGUUCGCGAUUUGAUGUAGCAACACGUUCGUGGAAAAGUUUAGGAGAUCUCCUACGGAAACGGUACAAUCACUGUGCCUUUAUGUUCAAUGGGAGCAUACAUGUAUUUGGCGGGAAAAGCUAUCUGGAAGACGAGCAUCCGUCAUUAGUAAACGUAAUAAGUAGCUACUGGCGAGAUGAUUAUACACCAUUGCCAAUAGAAACGUGUGAUGCGGAGAAAAAUGUGUGGAAAGAAGUCAGUUAUGUUGCUCUGGAUAGGGACGGUCAAACGCCGAUACGCCACCAAGCUUUCUCCAACUACCGUCGCACAAUCUCUAUACCGCUGCAAAGUACAUAGCUACAAUACUCCAUCGGCUUCUAAACAGCAAGUUGUCGUGUUUACCAUGAAAAUUUAUGUCGAUUUGAAAUUUUUUUGACUAAUCCUCUAUCAAGCCGCUGUUGUACUAUACCGAGAAAAGCGAUGUGCAUACGUCAUCAGUGCAAUGCCGUGCUGUACGCGAGAAAACUGAUAACACUUUUGCUGGAAAUUAUUAUUGUGUGACAUUGGUGACUGUACUUGUCAUGCAAUGUUUCCAACAUCGUAUCCGAUUUGCAAAUCCGCGUGCGGUAAUGAUACUGUUGCUGAUAGGAAAGGCACAAUAGUGCCGACCGAUCGUAUUAAUUGUUUUUAGCGCUAUGAUUAUUAUU